UCUUAUGUACAUGCCUACAACGUUAAUGCACCAGAUCCCAUCAAAACUUCGCAGUUAAGCGAGCUUGGGCUAGAUUAGUAUUGGGAUGGGUUACCUCCCGUGAAGUCCUAGUGUUUUACAAGCC
rnacentral:rRNA from 1 species